UACGAAGGGUGCAAGCGUUAAUCGGAAUUAUUGGGCGUAAAGAGCUCGUAGGCGGUUUGUCACGUCGGAUGUGAAAGCCCGGGGCUUAACUCCGGGUCUGCAUUCGAUACGGGCAGACUAGAGUGCGGUAGGGGAGAGUGGAAUUCCUGGUGUAGCGGUGGAAUGCGCAGAUAUCAGGAGGAACACCGAUGGCGGAGGCAGAUCUCUGGGCCGUAACUGACGCUGAGGAGCGAAAGCAUGGGGAGCGAACAGG
rnacentral:rRNA from 1 species